UCGGUUUUUCGUUUGUGAUACGGUUUAACGGUAGCAUCAUAAACUCUCCCCGUGGAGUAGAAUACUUUGGGGGUGGUUAUGUGCAAGUGCCGUUAAGUGGAAGAAUUAAUUUCCAAGAGUUGGUCGAUAUUUGUGGAUCGGCAGUAUCCACUACUGUGGGCCCGAUGGAGAUCGCCAAAAUAUAUUUCCGGGUACCUCAUGUUAAAGGGGGUCAUAUAUAUUCGUAUUCGUUACUAGAUGUGCAGGGCGAACAACACGUAUUUUCUAUUCGGGGUGAGGCAGCUCGGAUGGCGGCACUAAAAAAUUUAGAUUUGUACGUGGAGUACCGCACGGCGAUUUGUGAUGAUAUUUCUAUUGAUCAGCUGUAUAUAUCUGGUUCUAGUGAGUCGGAGAGGGACAGUGAGGAAGAGGGAGAAGACGACCACUACGAAAGCGAGGAGGAGGAUAUGGAGGACAUACUUAUUACUGCUGAACCGAGUAAUUUGGGAGAAAAUAUACAGUACCAGUCCCGACUGCUGCCACACGUCAGACGUGUAGAUCUCGAAGACUUCGACGUCGACGUGGACUCAUGGGAAGAGACGAACGUUGAGUAGGAGCGGAGGAUGGAGUUUGAAAAGGGGAUGACUUUCUCGAGCCGGGAGGCUGUUCGGGCCUGUGUUGUUACCUAUUCUGUGGACAAGGGAAGAGAGUCCAAGAGUCACCGGACAACGCACACGACAAUAGUUCUCGUUUGCAAGCACAACGAGAUAUGCAAAUGGUGGCUGCGUGCCACACUGCUUCAGAGAACCAACAUAUGGACGUUGACAAGAUAUAACAGGACACACAUAUGCGAUAUGCAAGUGUUAGUUCGUCACCAUCGGAAUUUUGGGAUUGCUCAGAUCGCCAAUUUUAUUAAGACGCAAGUCUAGGGCAGCGUGAUAACAGAUCAAAACGCUGAUUGUGGGACUCCUUGAAUUAACUGGAGUGGCUCUUCCAUAUAAAAGAGUGUGGUACGGCAAAGAGAGGGCAGUCUGCAUCGUUUAUGGAGACUGGAAAUACAAUUACACUCAACUGAAAAAGUUCAUGGAUAACGUGGUCCAUGUGAAUCCUGGAUCCUUUUGGAAUGCCGAAGGCCCCCUAUCUGUGUGCGGCGGGCAUCAAUGUAGAAUUUUCGAACGGAUGUUCUGGACGUUCUUCCCGAUGGUGGACGGAUUUCCGUUUUACAAGCCAGUUUUAUUCAUCAACGACGCCCACUUAUACUGCAAAUACAAAUUGCACAUGUUGAUAGCAUCGACGAUAGAGGCAUAUCCAGACAGCCAGAGCCGACCCGUGAGAUCCUGACAGACCCUCUCCCCCCAUCGGCCGUCUUUCACGGGGAUAUAGAGGACUUCAUUUGGCGGUAUUGCGGGUCUACGCAUGAGUACGGGAGCACCUCUUCGCCCAGGGGCCACCGGCUUCCUCUUUUUCAGUAUCGCCUACUUCUAUGCCUUAUGUUGACCCGUCCUUUGGGCAGACCGCUUACACUACUCCGCUGGCCACGCCGCAGGACCUUCUAGCCACACCUGUACAUUUGAUUUUGAAUUUACAUUAUUUGGGUUAUAACAUCAAUAAUUAUAGUAACUAAUUCGUUUUAUUUUCCAGGUCGAUUAUCAGGGGGAUACCGAGGACUUUAUAUGGCGGUAUACCGGGUAUACGCAUCACCACGACAGCACCUCUUCGCAGAGUGAGGCGCCACCAGGUUUGUCUUUUUCAGUACCGCCAGACUUCUCCCAGCAUCAUGGUUCCGCUUUUACCCCGUUUCAGCCUCCACCGCCACCUCCAGCUCAGCAAUAUGGUGAAAUAUUUGAAGACAACUGGUCCUAUCCGCAGACGCCUGCAGUGGGGAAUUUUAGUCAGCUUCUUGAGGGCUACAUUCCACAGCCGCCAUCCUCCUCUCCUCACCCGACUCAAAACCCCUCCCAGAUGCAUUUUUUGGUCACUGACGAUUGGAUGUACAAUUUGGAUGCUGCCAUGCCUCCGUCCGGUGGACUUUUUGACUUGACACCUCCUUCCUUUUUCCUGGGUUAGGGAACCCCUCCUCACAGGCGCCCGCUUUUGAUGUCGACCGUGCUCAGGACGAGAGUGACUAUGUGGACAGUCAAGACAGCGAUAAUAGCGACCCCAGCACCGGCCCAGAUGGUAGAGCUUACCGGCCAUUGACUAAUACCCAGAUGAGUCGGCGUCAGAACAGGGGUUACGGCCUGAGGACACACUUAAGGAUUCCAGAUAGAACAAACAUUUAGUUGUAUUUUAUAGCUUUUUUAUUGUUUUACAAAUAUUUAUGAUUAUUUGAUUUUCCGGUUAAUUUUAAUUGUUGUGUAAGGUUUUAUUAUAAUCUUGUACAAAACCCUAGUAAUUUAUUAUUAUCUGAUAA